ACCCGUUGAUCCUGCGGGAGAUCGCUGCUAUUUGGGUUCGACUAAGCCAUGCAAGUCAAGGGGACUUCGGUCACCGGCAUAAGGCUCAGUAACACGUCGAUAACUUGCCCUUAGGUCAGACAUAACCACGGGAAACUGUGGCUAACAUCUGAUAGGAAAUAUUCUCUGGAAGGAUUUAUUUCUUAAAAGCAAUGCCUAAGGAUAGGUCGGCGGCGGAUUAGGCUGUUGGUGAGGUAAAGGCUCACCAAACCGAAGAUCUGUAGGGGCUCUGAGAGGAGUAGCCCCGAGAAGGGCACUGAGACACUGGCCCUAGCCCUACGGGGUGUAGCAGGCGCGAAACCUUUACAAUGCAGGAAACUGUGAUAAGGGAACCCAAAGUGCUUAUCUUUGAUAGGCUUUUGCCGAGAGUAAAUAUCUCGGAGAAUAAGGGAUGGGAAAGACUGGUGCCAGCCGCCGCGGUAACACCAGCGUCCCGAGUGGCGAUCCUGUUUAUUUGGCCUAAAGCGUCCGUAGCUGGUUUUGUAAAUCUUUUGUGAAAUUGUUCAGCUUAACUGAACAGCGCGCAGGAGAGACUGCAUGACUAGGGACCGGGAGGAGUCAGAGAUAUAUCGGGGGGAGCGGUAAAAUGCUAUAAUCCUCGAUAGAUCACCUGUGGCGAAGGCGUCUGACUAGAACGGGUCCGACAGUGAGGGACGAAAGCUAGGGGAGCAAACCGGAUUAGAUACCCGAGUAGUCCUAGCCGUAAACGCUGUGAGUUAGGUGUUGCGCAAUCUCCGUGAUUGCGCAGUGUCGAAGCGAAGGUGUUAAACUCACCGCCUGGGAAGUAUGGUCGCAAGACUGAAACUUAAAGGAAUUGGCGGGGGAGCACUACAAGGGGUGCGGCGUGCGGUUUAAUCUAACUCCACACAGAGAAUCUCACCAGAAGCGACGGCAGGAUGAAGGUCAGUCUGAAGGGCUUACCUGACGAGCCGAGAGGUAGUGCAUGGCCGCCGUCAGCUCGUGCCGUAAGGUGUCUUGUUAAGUCAAGCAACGAGCGAGACCUGUAUCCACAAUUGCUAACGACUCAUUUUGAGAAUCGAGCACAUUGUGGGGACUGCCCUGGAAACAGGGAGGAAGGUGCAGGCAACGGUAGGUCUGUAUGCUCCGAAUCUUCUGGGCUACACGCGCGCAACAAUGAUACGGACAAUGGGUCGCCACUCCGAAAGGAGAAGCUAAACCUCGAAACCGUAUCUUAGUACAGAUUGAGGUUUGUAACCCAACCUCAUGACGCUGGAAUCCCUAGUAAUCGAACGUCAUCAGCGUUCGGUGAAUAUGUCCCUGCUCCUUGCACACACCGCCCGUCAGACCACCCGAGUUGGGUCUAGAUGAGGCCUUAUUUUUAAUAAGGUCGAAUCUAAGCUUAGCGAGGAGGGUUAAGUCGUCACAAGGUA
rnacentral:rRNA from 1 species